rnacentral:tRNA from 1 species
GGGGAAUUAGUUAAUUAUAACAUUGCCUUGUCAAGGCAAAAUUACGAGUUAGACUCUCGUACUCCUCU